rnacentral:rRNA from 1 species
GUGUCAGCAGCCGCGGUAAUACGAACCGUCCAAACGUUAUUCGGAUUCAUUGGGCUUAAAGGGUACGUAGGCGGCCCUGUUAGUCGGGUGUGAAAUCCCUCGGCUCAACCGAGGAACUGCGCCCGAUACUGCAGGGCUUGAGGGAGACAGAGGUAAGCGGAACUGAUGGUGGAGCGGUGAAAUGCGUUGAUAUCAUCAGGAACACCAGUGGCGAAAGCGGCUUACUGGGUCUCUUCUGACGCUGAGGUACGAAAGCUAGGGGAGCGAACGGGAUUAGAUACCCCCGUAGUCC